UACGAAGGGUGCAAGCGUUAAUCGGAAUUACUGGGCGUAAAGGGUGCGUAGGCGGUUCGGAAAGAGAGGUGUGAAAUCCCAGGGCUUAACCUUGGAACUGCACUUCUAACUACCGGGCUAGAGUACGUCAGAGGGGGGUAGAAUUCCACGUGUAGCAGUGAAAUGCGUAGAGAUGUGGAGGAAUACCGAUGGCGAAGGCAGCCCCCUGGGAUGAUACUGACGCUCAUGCACGAAAGCGUGGGGAGCAAACAGG
rnacentral:rRNA from 1 species